UACGAAGGGGGCUAGCGUUGCUCGGAAUUACUGGGCGUAAAGGGCGCGUAGGCGGAUACUUAAGUCGGGGGUGAAAGCCCAGGGCUCAACCCUGGAAUAGCCUUCGAUACUGGGUAUCUUGAGUUCGGGAGAGGUGAGUGGAACUCCGAGUGUAGAGGUGAAAUUUGUAGAUAUUCGGAAAGAACACCAGUGGCGAAGGCGACUCACUGGCCCGAUACUGACGCUGAGGCGCGAAAGCGUGGGGAGCAAACA
rnacentral:rRNA from 1 species